CCUCACCCCUAGCGAAUCCAUCAUCCUUGUCGGCCUCAAGUUUAAUCCACGUUAAGCUUCCAUGAUUUUGCUCUCCGCUUAUCCAAGCACCUUGAAUCCACGAAACCUCUAACAUCUCCAACACUUGCCUUGAAUCACCACACAUUUCUUCAAUGAUUGAAUUGAAUUAGGUCUUGAGAAUCAAUGAAACACUUUGAUCAAAUUGAUCUCUCAAAAGUUGUUUCUCAAACUCCCAAACUUUCUAUCUAUAGAUAGCUCUCAAAGGAAUUGGAGAGAUAAUGAUUUUUGGGUCCAAAAAGGCUUAAAUAAACCAUUCCAACCGACUUAGAUCGACACAUGGUCACCACCUAAUCGAUGAGGCGAGUUAUAACCGCCUUUCAAAAUAUCCCACGUUCAUAAAGAAACUGAACAACAGCUACUUGGGCCGCUUGACUCCCUGUAGGGCGGCAGAUCCUCCGGAUACCAAUUUUGUUGCAAACGCUGCUACAUGGGCCACUCGACUCCCAGUCGAAU
rnacentral:lncRNA from 1 species